rnacentral:rRNA from 1 species
UGCCACUCUUAACGGGGUGGCUUUUCAGAAGUGUAAAAAGCUUCUGGAAUAAGGGCUGGGCAAGACCGGUGCCAGCCGCCGCGGUAACACCGGCAGCUCAAGUGGUAGCCGCUUUUAUUGGGCCUAAAGCGUCCGUAGCCGGUCUGAUAAGUCUCUGGUGAAAUCCCACAGCUUAACUGUGGGAAUUGCUGGAGAUACUAUCAUGACUCGAGGUCGGGAGAGGCUGGAGGUACUCCCAGGGUAGGGGUGAAAUCCUGUAAUCCUGGGAGGACCACCUGUGGCGAAGGCGUCCAGCUGGAACGAACCUGACGGUGAGGGACGAAAGCCAGGGGCGCGAACCGGAUUAGAUACCCGGGUAGUCCUGGCCGUAAACGAUGUGGACUUGGUGUUGAGAUGGCUUCGAGCUGCCCCAGUGCCGAAAGGGAAGCUGUUAAGUCCACCGCCUGGGAAGUACGGCCGCA